rnacentral:rRNA from 1 species
AAUCAACGCUGGCGGCGUGCCUCAGACAUGCAAGUCGAACGCGAAAGUCCCCUUCGGGGGACAAGUAGAGUGGCGCACGGGUGAGUAACACGUAGGUAAUCUACCUUCGGAUGGGGAAUAACAACCGGAAACGGUUGCUAAUACCGCAUAAUGCAGCGGCACCUAAUGGUGACAGUUGUUAAAGCGGGGGAUCGAAAGACCUCGCGUCUGAAGAGGAGCCUGCGGCGGAUUAGCUAGNGGUAAGGUAAUGGCUUACCAAGGCGACGAUCCGUAGCCGGCCUGAGAGGGGCGGUCGGCCACACUGACACUGACAUACGGGUCAGACUCCUACGGGAGGCAGCAGUCGGGAAUUUUGGGCAAUGGGCGAAAGCCUGACCCAGCAACGCCGCGUGAAGGAUGAAAUCCCUCGGGAUGUAAACUUCGCAAGAACGGGAAGAAUAAGU